rnacentral:rRNA from 1 species
UACAGAGGGUGCGAGCGUUGUUCGGAAUUAUUGGGCGUAAAGGGCGCGUAGGCGGCGCCACAAGUCACUUGUGAAAACUCUGGGCUCAACCCAGAGCCUGCAGGCGAAACUGUGGUGCUGGAGUAUGGGAGAGGUGCGUGGAAUUCCCGGUGUAGCGGUGAAAUGCGUAGAUAUCAGGAGGAACACCGGUGGCGAAGGCGGGUCUCUGGGCCGAUACUGACGCUGAGGAGCGAAAGCGUGGGGAGCGAACAGG